rnacentral:rRNA from 1 species
CAGCAGCCGCGGGAAUACGGAGGGGGCUAGCGUUGUUCGGAAUUACUGGGCGUAAAGCGCACGUAGGCGGCUUGGUAAGUUAGAGGUGAAAGCCCGGGGCUCAACCCCGGAAUUGCCUUUAAGACUGCCGAGCUAGUAGGUGAGAGAGGUGAGUGGAAUUCCGAGUGUAGAGGUGAAAUUCGUAGAUAUUCGGAAGAACACCAGUGGCGAAGGCGGCUCACUGGCUCAUUCUAGACGCUGAGGUGCGAAAGCGUGGGGAGCAAACAGGAUUAGAUACCCGCGUAGUCCCUGUCUCUUAUAC